rnacentral:lncRNA from 10 species
CCUCACUCUGGCAUUGUGGGCUGCUCCAGCAAGCCCCGCAUUCUGAGGCUUCGUUGGGUGAGGAGCAGACACCAGUGUUUGUGCCUCUAAACUUCAGAGGACAGAUGUUAAUUUCUGCUGAGAAUUUCCUUAUGCAGUACUGGGUGCAGCUAUAAAUUUCUACAGCUCUGCCAAGGAUUUAUGUUAAUAGAAGCCAUCGCUUAACAUCUUGGGUCUCAACUUAGCUUUAAAAUAGGGAAGAUAAAAUCCACUUCAUAAAGUGGUAAAGUUUGAAUCAACUCACGUAAAGUACUUAGAACAGCAUCAGAAACACGUGUAGCUCCUCAAAAAUCUGGGCAGAACUUAGAAGAUACCAGAAGACUAUGGCAAGCUCAACCAAAAAUGCAAGCUGUGCUGCCUGGAGUUGGAGGAGCGGUGAUGCACACACUCCCUCGGCCACCUCAGCUGGUGUUUCACUGGGUCAUGGGCACCCCAAGUCUGCCAGCUCCAAGCCCAGCACAGCCCUAGAACUAGCCCAGGAAUUGCAGUCCUUGUGGCUUAGACUGCCUUUUAAGUUUACUUGGGACCCUAGAGCCCUUUAGCCCAUGAUGAUGGGGGUUGCUGGAACUCAGAUUCCCACUACCAGGAUGGAUAAUUUCCCUGUGGCUAGGGCUAGUCUAAAAGCUCCCUCCAUGGGUGCUGGCUGAAGUCUGCCUUGUAUUGCUUUCCAUUAUGACAGGGCAGCACUGAAUUCCAGUGCAAAGCCCCACAAUUACUGUACUGUCCUUCCCCCAAGUGUACAGAUUCUCUCUUCUGCCCCACAUAGUGCCACCAGGGGAUGGGGGAGCAGUGGUGUCAGGAAUUUAAGACUGUCUUUCCUACCCUCUUCAGUGUCUCUUUCCUUAACAUGAUGUUAAAACCAGGUACUGUGAUCACUCACUUGCUUUUUGGUUCUUAUGAAGGUGAUUUCUUCUGUGGAUAGUAGUUCAAUUUGGUGUUCCUGUGAGGAGGACAGUCACUGAAGGGUUCUGUUUGGCCAUCUUGCUCCCUUGUUUUUUGUUUACAUUGUCUAUGUCACCUCACAUAGUCCAGAAUGUACUGAGUGAAUUUAAUAAAUGUUUGUUGCAGUAAUGAAUAAACGAGAAGUAAACUUUCUUUAAGUUUUGGAACCUAAAAUAAUAAGUUUUAGUUGGGAAAACUCCCUAAUAACAUCCUUGGGAGUACAAGUAUGAUUAACAAAGAUUACUUAUCUCAGAAAGGUAAAUUUUAUAUGUGAAAACACUUUUAUAUGAAGUUUGAAAAUAUAUUUGGAAUAAAUAUAAGGAAUCAGUGAGAGAAUAGUCAAUGUGUAGAGGCAAAUCAGAAAAGUGAGAUUCAAGACCUGCCUUCACACUCUUUUUAAGUUUGAGCAUGUACUUAACCUCUUUGACCUCCAAAUCUCUCCUUUGGUCUUAUAUACAAUCAGGUGUUUCUAAUUAUAAUAGAUGAUGAUGUGUGAGAGAAUAUAUUGUUAACUGCAAAUCUUAUAAUAAUAAAAGCUGUAAUAAUACAUUUACAAACUAGCAUAAUUUCAUUGAGCAACAGAAAUUGUGAAGACAGCAUUUAUUUUCUUUAAAACAAUGAUGUAUUUCAUAAUUCACAUAUUUUGCUUUUCAAAUAAUUGUUUAUUAAAAUUUGUAUUUGUAUUGAUUGAGCACUUAUGAAUUAGAUAAGUAAUGCCAUAUUAUUUUAUAUCAUCUGUUAUCUGUGUCCAGUGGAUUUAUACAAUCUCACAUUUUUUAUCUGGUCAUGUACAAGGGUGUGAAUUCACCCGAAACACUCAGAGUGAUUCUGCUAUCUGUAUACAAUCCUAUAGCAUUUGCUUUGAUAUUAAAGAAUGCCAUCAAACAGAAAAUGAUGUGGUCAUUAAAUGUAGGGUAAAACCAAAGUUUAUGAUAUGAAUUCUAAAAACAUCAUAUGACUUCAAGUGAACUUUGAGACUUGUCUCAAUUUGAAAAUUGCUGUCUACUUCAUUUUACUGAAGAAAAGGAUAAGAGCAAAUAGAUUAUAAGUCACUGCAGACAAAACAAUUUAUUUUCCAGACUAAAGAGAAUUAUGAAAAACCAGACAUUUAAAUUGGUAGAAAAAAG